GACGAACGCUGGCGGCGUGCUUAACACAUGCAAGUCGAACGAUGAAGCUCCAGCUUGCUGGAGUGGAUCAGUGGCGAACGGGUGAGUAACACGUGAGCAACCUGCCCCUGACUCUGGAAUAAGCGCUGGAAACGGCGUCUAAUACUGGAUACGAGAAGGGUCCGCAUGGGCACUUUCUGGAAAGUUUUUCGGUUGGGGAUGGGCUCGCGGCCUAUCAGCUUGUUGGUGAGGUAAUGGCUCACCAAGGCGACGACGGGUAGCCGGCCUGAGAGGGCGACCGGCCACACUGGGACUGAGACACGGCCCAGACUCCUACGGGAGGCAGCAGUGGGGAAUAUUGCACAAUGGGCGAAAGCCUGAUGCAGCGACGCCGCGUGAGGGAUGACGGCCUUCGGGUUGUAAACCUCUUUCAGCAGGGAAGAAGCGAAAGUGACGGUACCUGCAGAAGAAGCACCGGCUAACUACGUG
rnacentral:rRNA from 1 species